GAUGAACGCUGGCGGCGUGCCUAAUACAUGCAAGUCGAGCGAACGGACGAGAAGCUUGCUCCUCUGAUGUUAGCGGCGGACGGGUGAGUAACACGUGGAUAACCUACCUAUAAGACUGGGAUAACUUCGGGAAACCGGAGCUAAUACCGGAUGAUAUUUUGAACCGCAUGGUUCAAAAGUGAAAGACGCUCUUGCUGUCACUUAUAGAUGGAUCCGCGCUGCAUUAGCUAGUUGGUAAGGUAACGGCUUACCAAGGCAACGAUGCAUAGCCGACCUGAGAGGGUGAUCGGCCACCCUGGAACUGAGGCACGGUCCAGACUCCUACGGGAAGCAGCAGUAGGGAAUCUUCCGCAAUGGGGGAAAGCCUGACGGAGCAACGCCGCGUGAGUGAUGAAGGUCUUCGGAUCGUAAAACUCUGUUAUUAGGGAAGAACAAAUGUGUAAGUAACUGUGCACAUCUUGACGGUACCUAAUCAGAAAGCCACGGCUAACUACGUG
rnacentral:rRNA from 1 species